rnacentral:rRNA from 1 species
UACGUAGGGUGCAAGCGUUAUCCGGAAUUAUUGGGCGUAAAGAGCUCGUAGGCGGUUUGUCGCGUCUGCUGUGAAAACCGGAGGCUCAACCUCCGGCCUGCAGUGGGUACGGGCAGACUAGAGUGCGGUAGGGGAGAUUGGAAUUCCUGGUGUAGCGGUGGAAUGCGCAGAUAUCAGGAGGAACACCGAUGGCGAAGGCAGAUCUCUGGGCCGUAACUGACGCUGGGGAGCGAAAGCAUGGGGAGCGAACAGG